CGAGCCGCUCUACAACGACUACCGCAAGAUUAGUCAAAAGCUCAGCGAUGGAAAAUUCACACUCACACACUUUGAUGAGUUCAUUGAUGAGCUCAUGACCAAGGAGUACAGCUGCGACACUGCCCUCCCCCGCGUUCAGAAAAGAUGGGUCCUUCAAGCUUCUAGAACUCUAGAACCAAGAAGAAGUGCACUUGAAGAUGAUUUUGAGGAAGAGGAGGAAGAUAAGGAGGAUGGGCAGCCUAUGGACGUAGAUGAGCCUAACACUCAUGAAAAGUCUCUGCAGAAAGGAAACUCAUUCAGCUGGAAUUAGUGUGUAGUUGUGAAUAGUCAGUACAUCAAGAUUUGGCUGGCCCAAGCUUCUCUCGGACCCAUGCUCCUUGAUAUUUGAGUUAUGUUCUUUGAACCUCUUGUCCGCACACCAUAAAACUAUUAGACGAACUCUGACUCUACUUUUCGAGACCGUCCACCUUUUUGAGACUGCUAAACCUUGAUCUCAACCGUUGGUCGUGUCGGUGAUGGGUCAUUCACCGGACUGGCCCUUCUCUGUUAAUAUGAACCUGUUAGCAUCUAUGAAACUACUAUGCUUGAUCUGCUUCAUAUGAAAGUACUAAGCUUCCUUCCUUUAUGAAUGAACAUUCCUCUACUGCAGGUCUAUUACUCUGUGUUCUUUUUUUAAUCACUAAAAUGCCACUCUUUCUCAUCUGCUCAAUAAGCCAACCAACCUGUCAUUUAAAGACGUUAACAUAUACUAUAACAAGUUUAGUGCACACAAUCACACCGAGAAGGUGCUCCCGGGGCUAAUUUAGCGACUAAUUUAUGUAUUCUUGUUGACCAGAAUUUUGUUGGACUUUCUAUUACUGAUGGUUACAUUGAUACUGGGUCGGAAACAAAUGAGGUAUGCAUUCUAGGUUUGCAUCAACUUUUUUUGCUGAAUUCUGAAGAUACAGUUCUACCGAGAAUCAAGCUUUAGCUCAAGGAUAUGUGUGUAUUGUGCACUCCCAGCUGGCUGGAUUCAGGCCCUGUUGGAUGAAUGAAGAGUUUGUUACCCUCCUGCUUAAGAAUACACAAAACAAUCAGAACUACCAUUCCCUGCUAAAAAUGAAAAUUCAAACUAUCUGGACAUUUAGUUGUUACGAUGAUGUGCAUGUGAUUUUGAUUUGCAGAUUCGAUAGUUGGGUUUUUCUUAUAUCUUGAUAUUGUGUAGUUGUCACCACGACGAAGAUGCAGGAGCAUGCUGGGAGCGGCAGGUCGUGCCUGUGGCACACUCUGGAUUUUGCGGACUAUGAGUUCAAGAAUAAUAUCUUCGCCAUCCGCUUUGGAUCCGUGGAGAGGCCUAUUGAUUUGGAAUUGUUGGCGCACGAUUUGCUUGAGAAAAAACAAGCUGUUGAGGUAAUUUGUACACCUAAGUUGAUUCUACAUAUUAAUUACAUCAAUGCAAAAAUAAAAUAUUAUACGAGCACGAAGGUUCUGAUGAUUAGAAUGUAAUUUUUUUCACUAACUGGGAACAUAUCAGUGACCUGGUUGUAGGGGUCAGGUGGCUGCUUCAUCUCAGUUGAGUUCUACAAACUAUCAGUUUUUGAAUAUAAAUGUUCUGACUUGCUAGCAGAUACUGUAAUACGCCAAGUUGAUUCCCAUCAGUUAAAUAUAGUUCUGUAGAGAAGUAUGAUAAUAUUUUGGAGCAAUGUGGAAUUGUGGAUGCAUUAAUACAUCGUUUUUCUGAAUGUCGAGGAAGCGUUGAUUGCUGCGAGAUGUUUGGCCUCUGUGUUGCUUGUUGAUGGAGACCAAACAAGGGAUUCUACAUAUAUAUGAUUUGUAUCCUAUGUUCUUCAAAUUGUGAGUAUGUAAAUCUUUGGACCUGGCUAUGUAUUAA